rnacentral:lncRNA from 1 species
GGGGCCAAGCCAGCUCUCCUCCUUCUGCGUGUUUGUUGGGAAGUUACAUUCCCAAGGAAGCAGUCAAGGCUCCAGAUAUUACACUGCACUCUCUCACUUCCUUGCUCCAAUUCUUCACCUUCCUUUUGCGGCCCAUACCCAUUCAUCCUUCUCAGCUUCUGCUCUUGCUGUUCUGUAUUAGCCACUCCUUAGCCUGGAUCCAUGAAAGAUGCCACCAGAUGGAUUAUUUCUUUCAGUAAAGAAGUUAUGACGGUGUUGAAUGGAUCGAAGAAAAGGUAGUUUUCUCACACGAGCUGUCGCAGAGCAACUCCUCCUUCUUCCUGCACAUCUGCCUGAAGCGCCUGCGGUGUACCUGUGGACCAAUGUCAGAUCCUUCUUUGUCUCUGGCUACACGAAGGGCUCUGAAUGUCAGCUUCACUGUCGAAUGAGUGAGCAAACAUGGACAGUUUUCCAGGCAGCACUUUCCAGUAUCACUCUCUGCGCUUCAUCAAGAUGAAGAUGGAAGCCAUGACGUUUGUUGUGCAUCUUCCCUUUCCAAAAUGUUCUGAGUCUGAUCGUCAGGGAACUUUACUGUGGUGGUUAUAACUUUUGCUACGGUCUUAGUCUCAUGACCCAUCUUAAUAUUCUUAAUAUUUUCCAUUGGUUUUGAGAACUCACAGACAUCUUGCAACAGCUGCUCAUUUUAUGGGACCCCACUGCGUGUAUGUUUAGUCUCCUCACUACGUUUCUAUGCCCUUAACUCCUUUCUAUCCUUUGUCUCUCCAUGUUUUAUUCUGGAUUUCUUUUUCUCUGUUAUGUUGAGUCCAC